AAAUCUGUUUUCAAUUUCCUCGGUAUUUAGCUCAUUGGCAACUGCAGAGGCCAACUAUCAUCCUAAAAUCUGAAUUUCUCCUCUCCAUAACACUAGAAAAGUUAGUGGAAGAAUCUCUUUCGACAUCUUGCUGAUCCCAGCUCCUCAUAUUCAGCUUUUGUGAUACACAUUGCAUCAAAGUCAGGACUUGAUGCCAAGAGUGAUCCCCCACGCCAAACACCUAAAAUAGGAUCUUCUUGAGUUGUGAUCUUUAAACAAUAUUUAUCUGGGACAAGAGGCCGAAGGUCCAUUUCUAGUCUUUUGGCAAAAUGAGGAAAUAGAGUACUGCCUCCCGUCAGAAUAAUGCUCUCAUAUAGAACAGGGUGAAGAUGAGAAUGGCAGGAACUGAUAGCUCGAUGAAUGCACUCUGCAAGUCCAGCCUGAUUCAGUCCCAAGUCAGCUGGACGAAACAUCAUCUCUGGGACAAGGAACCGCUCAUUUGUUAAGCCAAAUUCAUUUUUUGUCAAAUCAAUUUUUGAUCCAUUGUUUCUGUUCCUGUCUUCGGAAUUGUCAGUGUUCUCGAGCUGAUCCAUAUCAAUUUGUUCCCCUGCUACCUGCUGCGGAGCUUCA
rnacentral:misc_RNA from 1 species